rnacentral:rRNA from 1 species
AGUGAGCGCUGGCGGUAGGCCUAACACAUGCAAGUCGAACGGCAGCACAGUAAGAGCUUGCUCUUACGGGUGGCGAGUGGCGGACGGGUGAGGAAUACAUCGGAAUCUACUUUUUCGUGGGGGAUAACGUAGGGAAACUUACGCUAAUACCGCAUACGACCUACGGGUGAAAGCAGGGGAUCUUCGGACCUUGCGCGAUUGAAUGAGCCGAUGUCGGAUUAGCUGGUUGGCGGGGUAAAGGCCCACCAAGGCGACGAUCCGUAGCUGGUCUGAGAGGAUGAUAGGCCGCACUGGAACUGAGACACGGUCCAGACUCCUACGGGAGGCAGCAGUGGGGAAUAUUGGACAAUGGGCGCAAGCCUGAUCCAGCCAUACCGCGUGGGUGAAGGAGGCCUUCGGGUUGUAAAGCCCUUUUGUUGGGAAAGAAAAGCAGCAGGUUAAUACCCCGCUGUUCUGACGGUACCCAAAGAAUAAGCACCGGCUAACUUCGUG